rnacentral:snRNA from 1 species
UUUCAUACCAUAUAUAUAUGUAUACAUUGGAAUGAUGCAAAGAAGAUUAGACUGGCACCCACACAGGGAUGACAUGCAAACGAAGCAUUCUAUGUUAUU